GACGUAGGGCGCGAGCGUUGUCCGGAUUUAUUGGGCGUAAAGAGCUCGUAGGCGGCUUGUCGCGUCGGCUGUGAAAACCCGCGGCUCAACUGUGGGCGGGCAGCUGAUACGGGCAGGCUGGAGUUCGGUAGGGGAGACUGGAAUUCCGGUGUGAGCGGUGAAAUGCGCAGAUAUCAGGAGGAACACCGGUGGCGAAGGCGGGUCUGCUGGGCCGAUACUGACGCUGAGGAGCGAAAGCGUGGGGAGCGAACAGG
rnacentral:rRNA from 1 species